GAUGAACGCUGGCGGCGUGCCUAAUACAUGCAAGUCGAGCGAACAGACGAGGAGCUUGCUCCUCUGACGUUAGCGGCGGACGGGUGAGUAACACGUGGAUAACCUACCUAUAAGACUGGGAUAACUUCGGGAAACCGGAGCUAAUACCGGAUAAUAUAUUGAACCGCAUGGUUCAAAAGUGAAAGACGGUCUUGCUGUCACUUAUAGAUGGAUCCGCGCCGCAUUAGCUAGUUGGUAAGGUAACGGCUUACCAAGGCAACGAUGCGUAGCCGACCUGAGAGGGUGAUCGGCCACACUGGAACUGAGACACGGUCCAGACUCCUACGGGAGGCAGCAGUAGGGAAUCUUCCGCAAUGGGCGAAAGCCUGACGGAGCAACGCCGCGUGAGUGAUGAAGGUCUUCGGAUCGUAAAACUCUGUUAUUAGGGAAGAACAAAUGUGUAAGUAACUAUGCACAUCUUGACGGUACCUAAUCAGAAAGCCACGGCUAACUACGUG
rnacentral:rRNA from 1 species